rnacentral:rRNA from 1 species
GGGACGAACGCUGGCGGCGUGCUUAACACAUGCAAGUCGAACGGAAAGGCCCGCUUGCGGGUACUCGAGUGGCGAACGGGUGAGUAACACGUGGGCAACCUGCCCUCAGCUUCGGGAUAACUCUCGGAAACGGGUGCUAAUACCGAAUGUUGACAUUUCCUCGCAUGGGGUUGUGUUGAAAGUUUUUCGGCUGGGGAUGGGCCCGCGGCCUAUCAGCUUGUUGGUGGGGUGAUGGCCUACCAAGGCGACGACGGGUAGCCGGCCUGAGAGGGGCGAGUCGGACCGACGACCUGGAACGUGAGACACGGUCCAGACUCCUACGGGAGGCAGCAGUGGGGAAUAUUGCGCAAUGGGCGGAAGCCUGACGCAGCGACGCCGCGUGAGGGAUGAAGGUCUUCGGAUUGUAAACCUCUUUCAGUAGGGACGAAUUUAGACGGUACCUGCAGAAGAAGCACCGGCCAACGUACGUGCCAGCAGCCGC